AAUCAACGCUGGCGGCGUGCCUAACACAUGCAAGUCGAACGAGAAAGUCCCCGCAAGGGGAUGAGUACAGUGGCGACCGGGUGAGUAACACGUGACUAACCUACCCUGAAGCGGGGAAUAACCUCGGGAAACCGGGGCUAAUACCGCAUACCUUCCAGAGGGGAAGCUCCUGUGGAGGAAACGAGCAAUCGGCUUUAGGAGGGGGUCGCGCCCGAUUACGGUAGUUGGCGGGGUAAUGGCCCACCAAGCCUUUGANCGGUAGCCGGCCUGAGAGGGCGCACGGCCACACUGGAACUGAAACACGGUCCAGACUCCUACGGGAGGCAGCAGUGGGGAAUUUUGCGCAAUGGGGGAAACCCUGACGCAGCAACGCCGCGUGGAGGAUGAAGUCCCUUGGGACGUAAACUCCUUUCGACCGGGACGAUAAUGACGGUACCGGUGGAAGAAGCCCCGGCUAACUCCGUGCCAG
rnacentral:rRNA from 1 species